rnacentral:rRNA from 1 species
CCUACGGGUGGCAGCAGUGGGGAAUAUUGCACAAUGGGGGAAACCCUGAUGCAGCAACGCCGCGUGAGUGAUGACGGCCUUCGGGUUGUAAAGCUCUGUCUUCAGGGACGAUAAUGAGGGUACCUGAGGAGGAAGCCACGGCUAACUACGUGCCAGCAGCCGCGGUAAUACGUAGGUCGGCCGCGUUGUCCGGAUUUACUGGGCGUAAAGGGAGCGUAGGCGGACUUUUAAGUGAGAUGUGAAAUAAUCGGGCUCAAAUUGAGUGCUGCAUUUGAAACUGGACGUCUAGAGUGCAGGAGAGGAGAGUGGAAUGCCUGGUGUAGCGGUGAAAUGCGUAGAGAUUAGGAAGAACACCAGUGGCGAAGGCGGUUCUCUGGACUGUAACUGACGCUGAGGCUCGAAAGCGUGGGGAGCGAACAGGAUUAGAUACCCCGGUAGUC